UACGAAGGGGGCUAGCGUUGCUCGGAAUCACUGGGCGUAAAGCGCACGUAGGCGGCUUUCUAAGUCAGGGGUGAAAUCCUGGAGCUCAACUCCAGAACUGCCUUUGAUACUGGAGAGCUUGAGCCCGGAAGAGGUGAGUGGAACUCCGAGUGUAGAGGUGAAAUUCGUAGAUAUUCGGAAGAACACCAGUGGCGAAGGCGGCUCACUGGUCCGGUACUGACGCUGAGGUGCGAAAGCGUGGGGAGCAAACAGG
rnacentral:rRNA from 1 species